rnacentral:rRNA from 1 species
GGCGCCGGGAAAGCCCUGACGGCGAGGGAUGGGCCCGCGGCCUGUUAGCUUGUUGGCGGGGUAACGGCCCACCAAGGCGAUUAUGGGUAGCCGGGUUGAGAGACCGACCGGCCAGAUUGGGACUGAGACACGGCCCAGACUCCUACGGGAGGCAGCAGUGGGGAAUCUUGCACAAUGGGCGAAAGCCUGAUGCAGCGACGCCGCGUGCGGGACGAAGGCCUUCGGGUUGUAAACCGCUUUCAGCAGGGACGAGGCCGCAAGGUGACGGUACCUGCAGAAGAAGCCCCGGCUAACUACGUGCCAGCAGCCGCGGUAAUACGUAGGGGGCGAGCGUUAUCCGGAUUCAUUGGGCGUAAAGCGCGCGUAGGCGGCCUGCUAGGUCGGGACUCAAAUCCGGGGGCUCAACCCCCGCCCGGUCCCGAUACCGACAGGCUUGAGUCUGGUAGGGGAAGGCGGAAUUCCAAGUGUAGCGGUGGAAUGCGCAGAUAUUUGGAAGAACACCGGUGGCGAAGGCGGCCUUCUGGGCCACGACUGACGCUGAGGCGCGAAAGCUAGGGGAGCGAACAGGAUUAGAUACCCU